AACGCGAAGAACCUUACCUGGUCUUGACAUCCACGGAAGUUUUCAGAGAUGAGAAUGUGCCUUCGGGAACCGUGAGACAGGUGCUGCAUGGCUGUCGUCAGCUCGUGUUGUGAAAUGUUGGGUUAAGUCCCGCAACGAGCGCAACCCUUAUCCUUUGUUGCCAGCGGUCCGGCCGGGAACUCAAAGGAGACUGCCAGUGAUAAACUGGAGGAAGGUGGGGAUGACGUCAAGUCAUCAUGGCCCUUACGACCAGGGCUACACACGUGCUACAAAGGCGCAUACAAAGAGAAGCGACCUCGCGAGAGCAAGCGGACCUCAUAAAGUGCGUCGUAGUCCGGAUUGGAGUCUGCAACUCGACUCCAUGAAGUCGGAAUCGCUAGUAAUCGUGGAUCAGAAUGCCACGGUGAAUACGUUCCCGGGCCUUGUACACACCG
rnacentral:rRNA from 1 species